rnacentral:tRNA from 2 species
GAGAGAGGCUUGCAAGCAACAAAGACUGCUAACCCUUGUACCCUCGGUUGGAUUCCGGAGCUCCCUCACAU